ACCCUUUGUUGUCCGACUCUGUUGCCUCCGGGGCGACCCUGCCUUCGGGCGGGGGCUCCGGGUGGACACUUCAAACUCUUGCGUAACUUUGCAGUCUGAGUAAACUUAAUUAAUAAAUUAAAACUUUUAACAACGGAUCUCUUGGUUCUGGCAUCGAUGAAGAACGCAGCGAAAUGCGAUAAGUAAUGUGAAUUGCAGAAUUCAGUGAAUCAUCGAAUCUUUGAACGCACAUUGCGCCCCCUGGUAUUCCGGGGGGCAUGCCUGUUCGAGCGUCAUUUCACCACUCAAGCCUCGCUUGGUAUUGGGCAACGCGGUCCGCCGCGUGCCUCAAAUCGACCGGCUGGGUCUUCUGUCCCCUAAGCGUUGUGGAAACUAUUCGCUAAAGGGUGUUCGGGAGGCUACGCCGUAAAACAACCCCAUUUCUAAGGUUGACCUCGGAUCAGGUAGGGAUACCCGCUGAACUUAAGCAUAU
rnacentral:rRNA from 1 species